GAGAGAGGCCAGAGGCACUAAGAACUGCUAAUUCCUUAGCACCAAGGUUAAAAUCCUUGGCUCCCUCG
rnacentral:tRNA from 1 species